AGAGUUUGAUCAUGGCUCAGAAUCAACGCUGGCGGCGUGCCUAACACAUGCAAGUCGAACGCGAAAGUCCCGCAAGGGAUAAGUAGAGUGGCAAACGGGUGAGUAACACGUGGGUGACCUGCCUUCAAGUGGGGGAUAACGUCCCGAAAGGGACGCUAAUACCGCAUAACAUGCCGCCUUUUAACAGGCGGACAUCAAAGCCGGGGAUCGCAGGACCUGGCGCUAGAAGAGGGGCCCGCGCCUGAUUAGCUAGUUGGUGGGGUAAUGGCUCACCAAGGCGACGAUCAGUAGCCGGCCUGAGAGGGCGGACGGCCACACUGGGACUGAGACACGGCCCAGACUCCUACGGGAGGCAGCAGUGGGGAAUUGUUCGCAAUGGGCGCAAGCCUGACGACGCAACGCCGCGUGGAGGAUGAAGACCUUCGGGUCGUAAACUCCUUUCGAUCGAGACGAAUGGCCUUCGGGUUAAUAACUCGGAGGAAUGACGGUACCGAGAGAAGAAGCCCCGGCUAACUCCGUGCCAGCAGCCGCGGUAAUACGGGGGGGGCAAGCGUUGUUCGGAAUUACUGGGCGUAAAGGGCUCGUAGGUGGCCAACUAAGUCAGACGUGAAAUCCCUCGGCUUAACCGGGGAACUGCGUCUGAUACUGGAUGGCUUGAGUUUGGGAGAGGGACGCGGAAUUCCAGGUGUAGCGGUGAAAUGCGUAGAUAUCUGGAGGAACACCGGUGGCGAAGGCGGCGUCCUGGACCAAUACUGACACUGAGGAGCGAAAGCCAGGGGAGCAAACGGGAUUAGAUACCCCGGUAGUCCU
rnacentral:rRNA from 1 species